rnacentral:misc_RNA from 1 species
GAUGAAGAACGUAGCGAAAUGCGAUACGUAGUGUGAAUUGCAGAAUUCAGUGAAUCAUCGAAUCUUUGAACGCACAUUGCACCUCUCGGUAUUCCGGGAGGUAUGCCUGUUCGAGCGUCAUUUGUACCCUCAAGCUCUGCUUGGUGUUGGGUGUUUGUUCCGCCUCUGUGUGUGAACUCGCCUCAAAACAAUUGGCAGCCGGCGUACUUGUUUCGGAGCGCAGCACAUUUUGCGAUCCAGAUCAACGUACAGCGGCAUCCAAGAAGCCUUAUUUAACGCUCUUGACCUCGGAUCAGGUAGGGAUACCUGCUGAACUUAAGCAUAUCAAUAAGCGGAGGA